rnacentral:rRNA from 1 species
UACGGAGGGGGCUAGCGUUGUUCGGAAUUACUGGGCGUAAAGCGCACGUAGGCGGCUUUGUAAGUUAGAGGUGAAAGCCCGGGGCUCAACUCCGGAAUUGCCUUUAAGACUGCAUCGCUAGAAUUGUGGAGAGGUAAGUGGAAUUCCGAGUGUAGAGGUGAAAUUCGUAGAUAUUCGGAAGAACACCAGUGGCGAAGGCGGCCAACUGGACGAGUACUGACGCUGAGACACGAAAGCGUGGGGAGCAAACAGG